rnacentral:rRNA from 1 species
GACGAACGCUGGCGGCGUGCUUAACACAUGCAAGUCGAACGGGAUUUAGUAAACAGAAGCCUCGGUGGAAGAUUACUAAUGAGAGUGGCGAACGGGUGAGUAACGCGUGAGCAACCUGCCUAUGACAGUGGGAUAGCCUCGGGAAACCGGGAUUAAUACCGCAUAACAUCGUAGAAACACAUGUUUUAACGGUCAAAGAUUUAUCGGUCAUAGAUGGGCUCGCGUCUGAUUAGCUAGUUGGUGAGAUAACAGCCCACCAAGGCGACGAUCAGUAGCCGGUCUGAGAGGAUGAACGGCCACAUUGGAACUGAGACACGGUCCAAACUCCUACGGGAGGCAGCAGUGGGGAAUAUUGCACAAUGGGGGAAACCAUGAUGCAGCGACGCCGCGUGAACGAAGAAGGUAUUCGUAUCGUAAAGUUCUGUCCUAUGGGAAGAUAAUGACAGUACCAUAGAAGAAAGCUCCGGCUAAAUACGUG